AGUGAACGCUGGCGGUAGGCCUAACACAUGCAAGUCGAACGGCAGCACAGUAAGAGCUUGCUCUUACGGGUGGCGAGUGGCGGACGGGUGAGGAAUACAUCGGAAUCUACUUUUUCGUGGGGGAUAACGUAGGGAAACUUACGCUAAUACCGCAUACGACCUACGGGUGAAAGCAGGGGAUCUUCGGACCUUGCGCGAUUGAAUGAGCCGAUGUCGGAUUAGCUAGUUGGCGGGGUAAAGGCCCACCAAGGGGACGAUCCGUAGCUCGUGUGAGUGGAUGGUAAGCCACACUGGAACGGAGACACGGUCCAGACUCCUACGGGAGGCAGCAGUGGGGAAUAUUGGACAAUGGGCGCAAGCCUGAUCCAGCCAUACCGCGUGGGUGAAGAAGGCCUUCGGGUUGUAAAGCCCUUUUGUUGGGAAAGAAAAGCAGCAGGUUAAUACCCCGCUGUUCUGACGGUACCCAAAGAAUAAGCACCGGCUAACUUCGUG
rnacentral:rRNA from 1 species